rnacentral:rRNA from 1 species
AAAACAUAGCCCUUGUAAUAAUCAAAGGUGUGACCUGCCCAUUGGCUUGACAAUAUAUAAGAAUAAAUUCUUAGAAGAAAGCUUAAAGGACGCAGUAUCUUGACUGUGGUAAUGUAGCAUAAUCACUCGCCACUUAAUUGGUGGANNNNAUGAAUGGUUGAACGAAUAUUACACUGUCUCCUCUAAAAAAUUCUUUAAAUUGAAAUAAUAGUAAAGAUGCUAUUUAAAACUGUAAGACGAAAAGACCCUAUAGAGCUUAACUAUAUUCUAUAACUAAAAAAGUAAAAAAAAUUAUUUACAAAACUUAUAGAAUGGUAGUUUAGUUGGGGCGACUUUCUUCUAUAUUCAACGAAGAUAAGCAAUGUUAAUAGAAAAACUUAUUGUAUAAUCCAUAAAUUUAACAAUUACAAUAGUAGGCUAUAAUGACCCAUUAGAAUUUAAAGACAAAUCUAAUGAUCAAUAAAUAAAAGCUACCUUAGGGAUAACAGGAUAAUUUUGUUCUAGAGAUCAUAUCGAAGACAAAGUUUGUCACCUCUAUGUUGAAUUAAGAUAACCUAAUAAUGCAGAAGU